GGCAGAGUUGUUGGACCAUAUGCUAAGUGUAUGUUUUUCUUUAUAAGAAACUGCCAAAUUGCUUUCCAAAGCAAUUGUGGCAUUCUGCACUCCCACCAGCAAU
rnacentral:pre_miRNA from 1 species